CAGUCGCCGCGGUAAUACGUAGGGUGCAAGCGUUAAUCGGAAUUACUGGGCGUAAAGCGUGCGCAGGCGGUUUGUUAAGACAGAUGUGAAAUCCCCGGGCUCAACCUGGGAACUGCAUUUGUGACUGGCAGGCUAGAGUAUGGCAGAGGGGGGUGGAAUUCCGCGUGUAGCAGUGAAAUGCGUAGAUAUGCGGAGGAACACCGAUGGCGAAGGCAGCCCCCUGAGCCAAUACUGACGCUCAUGCACGAAAGCGUGGGGAGCAAACAGGAUUAGAUACCCGCGUAGUCCCUGUCUCUUAUAC
rnacentral:rRNA from 1 species